rnacentral:tRNA from 1 species
GCCAGUGUGGUGUAGUGGUUUGAGUGUUGGACUAUGACUCUGGAGACCAGGGUUCGAUUCCCCACUAGGCCA